AGACGUCUACAUUAGAUACCCGCGUAGUCCCAGCCGUAAACUAUGCGCGUUAGGUGUAUCGGUGACCACGAGUCACCGAGGUGCCGAAGGGAAACCGUGAAACGUGCCGCCUGGGAAGUACGGUCGCAAGGCUGAAACUUAAAGGAAUUAGCGGGGAGCACCACAACGGGUGGAGCCUGCGGUUUAAUUGGACUCAACGCCGGGAAGCUCACCGGAUAAGACAGCGGAAUGAUUGCCGGGCUGAAGACUCUGCAUGACUAGCUG
rnacentral:rRNA from 1 species